rnacentral:lncRNA from 1 species
GUCGAAUUUCAAUCAGAAAAAAUUGACUGAAACAUCUUUUUUCAAGCAGUUGUCCCAAGGUAUUUUGUAUUACCUCCUUCCCAAAUUAAUUGUCUUAGAUUUAGAUUCGGGACGGUGGCAGUACAUCACAGGGAUACAUGCACAUGCGUUAAAUACUCGAGUUAUGAUUGGCAACCGCAAAGUAAACGCUGCUAAUUCACCAUUGUUCUCCAUGGUAUGAUUUAUAGCAAACAAAAACAUGACUCAGAUGCUUGCACUUGCAACACAUCAAACAUGAUAAGAUCUUAUAUCAAACAUGAUAGCCUACACACGCACUGCAUCUUGUCGGAGACUCUCAGCUGACGCUGGGACUCGAGAUGCUGCUGCAAGCACACUGAAUUGGUGGUUGGAGCUUCGAUUGGUGUCCCAGCUUCGGCCUGAAGAGAAGAUGCAGCAUCAAAUUCCUAGCCUUUUAUGUUGAGGGCCGGUUAAGCUCCUGUAAUGGACAUGAAAGAUUAGCCUUGAGCCAGUGGAUGUGUAAAGGAAAAGAGGGGCUUAAGCAUGUGGAAUUCUUAC